rnacentral:tRNA from 1 species
GCCCGGGUGGCGGAACAGGUAGACGCAACGGACUUAAAAUCCGUUGGAGGCAACUCCGUGCCGGUUCGAGUCCGGCUCCGGGCACCA